rnacentral:rRNA from 1 species
UACGUAGGGGGCCAGCGUUGUUCGGAUUUAUUGGGCGUAAAGGGCAUGUAGGUGGUUAUGUAAGUGUGGAUUUAAAGACCGGAGCUCAACUCCGUGUAUGGUCUGCAAACUGCAUGACUAGAGUAUGGGAUGGGAGACUGGAAUUCCACGUGUAGGGGUGAAAUCUGUAGAGAUGUGGAAGAAUACCAAUGGCGAAGGCAAGUCUCUGGCCUGUAACUGACGCUGAAAUGCGAAAGCGUGGGUAUCAAACAGG